GGCCUGCCUGGGUUUCCUGGCUCAAAUCAGUUGCAGAUGUUCACUACUUGUCUGGAACUUGGGACCCAUAUCUUCGGGAAAACCGCCAUUCCCUGGGUUCCAUGUAAGUUUAGAAUUACAUUCCCAUAUUGUGAGAGAUAACUGGCCUUGAGUUAAGACAACAGCCAUCAGGAGAAUAAGGUGGGGGGGGGGGGGGGGGAGUCUGGAAAAUUCCAAAUGCUUAGCAGAGCUUGCAAUUUGUUCAAAUAGCUCAAAUAUGGCCAAGAGGCACAGACUACAGUUUGUUAUGUUUGUCAGAAAUAUAAUACAAUUCCUUGUAAACAUGCUGGAAAAAUUCCUAGAAACUAGAGGCCACUCAGCUGUUAUUUGCAAAGGAGUCUUUCAUUUCAUUGUAAAUAUGGGAAAAUAUUACAUUAUAAUAUUCAAUUCAUAAUAAGAUUUUACUGUCUCUCAAAGUGAUUACAAUAUUGUAAAUAUUUGUACAGUUUGCAUUACGGAUACUGAAGGUCUAAUGCCGUAGUGUUGAAUGUUUACGUCGGCCAGGAUGUCAAGGGAAAUCUUAUUUGUUUUCUAUCAUCAUUAACUCAGAGUGCACGAGUAUACAGUACAACAGUAGAGCAGUGUAUUUCACCAGAGCAUUCCACAACCAUAUCACACAUUCAAACAGCUGGAGGGGGCAGAGAAACAGAAGAGAACAGGUAUAUCAGCUAUGGCGAUCUCCUACAAAAACCAACACCAGCACCCUGGUGAACAUAGUCAGAUAGACAUACAAAGUGGGAACAUUAGGCUAGUUCAAACUAGCCACAUGUGGUUGUAAGAUGUGGUUUGAAUAUCAAAGGCUUGUGCUUUACAGAAAACUCACACUAAAUUGUUGAUUUGUUAUGGCGUAAAACAGUCUACUUUCACUCAAGCAUAUCACAUAAGUAUAGUCAGACUACUAACAACAGAAAAGAGUGGCAAUUUCCAUUGAAUGAGAAAGAGGUCAGAGUUUAUAUUGUAUUGUUUUCAUAUAGGUGUUUAUGAAGUAAUUAUGUACUGUACAUGUGCCACUGCUGAAAAAAAAUGUUUGAAACUGCUGUACAUGAACUACAAUACAUGACUUGUGUUUUGUGUAGGCCUACUCAAUAAUAAAGAUAUAAAUGCUAUCAGAAAUGCACGUUAUUGCAGUUUAUUAUGAACAUUUAAGAAAAUAAACGCUCUUUACGAGCGGUAUGUGCGGUAUGGUCGCGUUCACACGUGCGGCAUAAUAGCAAGGAGGCAGCAAAGGGUUAAUUAACUUAACACUUUACAACCGGGGGAGGUUUCACUCUGGUUGGAAACUUGAUAAAAUUACUGUUUAACAUAUUCCUUGAAUUCUAUAGCGACUAUCAUCGGAGGAAAUACACACGUUAGUUAAUACAGUUUUCAGAGCAGGAUUACAUUAUGCAUAUUGGGGUGGCAAGAUCGUCAUCUUGAAAACACCUGCGAUAUAUCAGGUAUUGGAGGGAAGUCAUUGGUCGUUGAGCGUUCACGACUGGAACAGGUAAGAUCGUCUCAAAUUGCAAUUCACCUUGACAUUUGGAGCAGUGUUCUUCAGGCUAACUUUAUUAUAAGUACGUCAAGUAUAAGUGUUAUCUGAUAACACGAAAUAGAAGUUUGUUGUUAUGGGUGUAAGAUGGCACAGUGAUUGUAAAGAACAUUGUAAAGAACAUCCUCCAACGUGGGCAUAAUGUAAUGUGAACGUCGCAGAGCCCGGUUGAGGUGUUUAGGAUCAAUGCAUAUCCGUAGCUUGUCUGGUUUCUUGACUGCAACUCUUGUGUUUUACCGGGGUGCUUGAGAUACCCGGAUGUGUUGUGAUGUACGGAACAAGACUGGUUACUCGCAUCAAUGCCUCUGUCUCGUCAUUUAGCAUUCAAACAUUUGUCUCUAGUGACCAGAUGUCUAUGUGACAUAAUGCCACAGAGUUGAGUUGGUAACAUGAUAUUAGUUCCUCCUUUUAAGUUCCUGGCUGCUCACUUCAGUAGAGGUGCGUGGGUAAAAUAACUGGGGAAGCCAGGCCAGAAAAAAAUACAUACUGUAUGUGUUGUGAUUAUUGCGUUGUUUGCUCUAUAACCUGUUAGUUCAUAUGCCUUGCCACGUUGAUAUAUAGGCCAAAGGCCGAGGCAAUAAGAAGACAGUGGCAGAAUAAAUUCAACCACUCCUUUGUUUCUUCACAAAACCGGACAGCAACCUCUGUCCAGUGAAGUUCACAAGGCAUUUUGCAUUACAGAAAGUAAAUCAAAUCAAACUUUAUUUGUCACAUGCUCCGAAUACAACAAGUUUAGACCUAACCUUGAAAUGCUUACUUACAAGCCCUUAACCAACCGUGUAGUUCAAGAAGAGUUACCAAAUGAACUAAAGUAAAAAAUAUAUAUAUAAUAAAAGCAACAUAAUAACAUAACAAUAACGAGGCUAUAUACAGGGGGUAGUGAGUCAGUGUGCAGGGUACAGGUUAGAGGUCAUUUGUACAUGUAGGUAGGGAUAAAGUGACUAUGCAUAGAUAAUAAACAGCGAGUAGCAGCAGUGUACAAAUGGGGGGGGGGGUCAAUGUAAUAGUCCGGUGGCCAUUUGAUUAAUUGUUCAGCAGUCUUAUGGCUUGGGGGUAGAAGCUGUUAAGGAGCCUUUUGGUCUAAGACUUGGCGCUCCGGUACGGCUUGCUGUGCAGUAGCAGAGAAAACAAUCUAUGACUUGGGUGACUGGAGUCUCUGACAAUUGUAUAGGCUUUCCUCUGACACUGCCUAUUAUAUAGGUCCUGGAUUGCAGGAAACUUGGCCCCAGUGAUAUACUGGGCCGUACGCACUACUCUCUGUAACGCAUUACGGUCAGAUGCCGAGCAGUUGCCAUACCAGGCAGUGAUGCAACCGAUCAGGAUGCUCUCGAUGGUGCAACUGUAGAACUUUUUGAGGAUCUGGGUGUUAUGGUUAUUCCUUGUAUAAUGACAAACCGGGGCAUAGGUUUAACUCCUUUUAAUUAACAUAUACUUCAGCUAGAAAACUCCAUAUUUAGCCAUGCAAGGCAUUCUUCAACCCCCUGCCCCCCACAUAGCCUGCUGGGUAACGUAGUCUAAAUGUUAAUAACACAUAACAACACAUCUUCCUUCCUUUAAAAGGAAACUACUUUUCUAUGUAACUACACAUGUCACAUCACAUCUGUUUACUCAACCUGCAUAACACGCAAUUUUCAAAAACACACAUUUCUUUUUUUUUUUUACAUUGCUCUCAUCACUUAAGACGCAAUAAACAUAUUCUGAUGUAUUAUUAUUAUUUUUUCAACUAAAUAUAGUCUGUCCAACAAUACUCUAUUGUGGCUCUAUUACUUUUCACUUAAACAAAACAUUCAGUCCAGGUGACCCUUUUUUUUGGAUUGUUUAGCAAUUCUCAAUAGGCCUUUCAGGGGCUCUGACAGUCCUUUUUGGUCGUUCUGCUGAAGUGCUUCCUGAAACAGUUGGACAGCGCUCAUUGUCAGUCAGG
rnacentral:lncRNA from 1 species